rnacentral:misc_RNA from 1 species
GGUGUUAGAAACUCCUGACAGCCUCCAUUAAUACGUCCUUGCUAUUAACUGAUCCAACACACAGCUAAAUGUUGCUAAGAACUGGACCUUCUUCUGGUUUCUCUCUCACAGAUUGAAUCUGCAAGGGAUGCUACGAACAAGUUGAACUGACCCAUUUCACAGGUGCUGGAAAGUUUUAAUUUUUCUUCUCUGGGUAGCUAAACGGAGAGUUAGGGCUCAUUUUCCCUUUUUUGUUAUUGUGGAUUUUGAAGUUUUAUGCUUGCUGCUCAAUUGGGUAACUUUCUUUCGUUCUGGAUUAUGUUCUUGCUUCUGAGUAACCAGUUUCUGAUUUUUUUUUUCUUUUAAUUUGUUGUAGAGUUUGGGAAAUAGUUGUGAUGGAAUUGGAACUGACCCUCCUGCAAUUUUCUGUGCUUUUGACUGCUUUUAUUGUGCCCCGGUUUGCUGUCUCUGAAACAAUAUCAAAUGACACAGUUCAUGGUCCACUGGUAGCUUCCAAGAAUGAAAGCAGUAAAGCAUGGUGCCAUUCUGGCUGGGACAUCAGUCCAAACAAGAAUAAGUGCCUGAAAUAUUUAGAAAAUUCCCUAUCAUGGGUUGAGUCAGAGAACCUCUGCAAAAGCUAUGGUGGACAUUUGGCAGCAUUGACAUCUUCUCAAGAACUAAGCUUUGCAAAACAGCUGUGUGGCCAAAUUGCU